UACGUAGGGUGCGAGCGUUGUCCGGAAUUAUUGGGCGUAAAGAGCUCGUAGGCGGUGUGUCACGUCGGCCGUGAAAACCUGCAGCUUAACUGUGGGCGUGCGGUCGAUACGGGCAUCACUGGAGUUCGGCAGGGGAGACUGGAAUUCCUGGUGUAGCGGUGAAAUGCGCAGAUAUCAGUAGGAACACCGGUGGCGAAGGUGGGUCUCUGGGCCGGUACUGACGCUGAGACGCGAAAGCGUGGGGAGCGAACAGG
rnacentral:rRNA from 1 species